CCUACUUUGGAAGGCUUGAAUGGGACGAGUGUCAGGGACUGUGGGCAGGAGGAAUAGAAAGCAUGGAGGUUCUUCCUGUCAACCUUCAGGGCAGUAGAAGUAGCAGGGAGGAGCAGACCUGCAGCGGAUCUGCGAACCAGAUUGAAAACAAAAAUAGCAGCUAGGCUUGGUGACCCAUGCCUGUAAUCCUGGCACUUGAGAGGAUCGAAAGAUUGGAGACCAUGUAUAUGGUAUGUCUGUAUUGGAUUUCCAGAAGCAGGACUUACAGACACUUGUGAGUUGCCAUGAACAAUCAUUAUGUUUUGAGGAAGACAAGAAGAAUAAGGAGGAAAUUGACCAACCAUCUGGAGAGCUUGCCUAGAGCCUGGGAACUUGAAUUUAAUUUUACCUUAUGAUCAAAAUGGAGUCCAAAAACAAAAUGGCGUACUAUAGGGCGGACCACCAGCUCCAUCACACUGGACCUAGUGCAGUCACACUUCAAGAACUUUAGACGCCUGACUGAGAAUUUGGGUUUAACCCUACUGUCUACUUGGUUAAAGGUAUUGUGUAUGGAAAUCCUGGGCACCGUGACCAAGUUCCAUACAUCACUGUCUGGCAACACUGGUGGUGAGUCCCCCCCCCCCCCAAUCUGGCUAAGACCCUCAUACCCCCUACCCCAGUGAUCUUACAGGUUAAGAAGCCGUAGCCAUCAAAGAAUCAUAAGCCAGAAAUCCUACCUGUCUCAGCUCCAGUAGAAGACUUCUUUCCACAUCCUUAUUACUCUGUCCUGGUAUAGAUCCCUCCCUUGCAAAUGGAUCCCGGCCCUGGGGAAGCAGGAGAGAACACAGCUAGCCCUCCUCACGCGGGAGCCCACACAGCAAGAUCCAUACAAUUGUGCUGCCCUUGUGGGUGGCUAGCCCUACCCUACCCCGUCCUCAUGGGCGAGUAGAUGGUACAGGACACACAUCCCCUUUUCUGAACUAUACAACUGGAAGAUGCAGAAUCCCGCAUUUUCAAAGAAACCUUCCGUCCUCAUAGACACAUUAGACUCUGUAAUGGCUACUCAUGAACCCAGUGAGGAUGACUGCCAACAGCUCUUGCAGGUGCUCUUCAUGACUGCGAAAUAAGAACAGGCAACAGAGACAGCCCAGAAACUUCUUCUGUGUGCAAAGGCUAGCCCACCACUGUACAAGCCAACACUCAUGCAGCUUUUCCCAUGGUCCGUCCUCACUAGGAUCCCACCAACCCUUUGGGUGAGGAGAGGCAAAAGUCUAUUGCCAGAUUCUUAUGAGGGGUCUCUGUGAGGCCCCUGGGAGGCAAACCAAUUUGUCUAAGAUAGGACAAGCUAUGCAAGGUUAGGAGGAGACUCCAGGGCUAUUUCUCAAGAGGUUGCUGGAAGUCUGCCACACCUAUAUGCCUCUGAACACAGAGGCAAGGGAAAACCAAUCUGCUGUGAACCGGGUAUUCACAGGUCAACCAGGUAGUGUAAGACAUCCACAGAAAACUCCUGUGGCUGGAAGGAUUUGAAGGUAGGUGCAUGGCUGAGCUCCUAGCUCUAGCCAAAAAAGUCUUUAACAACAGGAAGGCGCUGGAGGACAGGCAGACAAGGGAAUCUGUGAAGGUAUUGCUAGCAGAUAUUGGAAGAGAGGGAUCUGAUGCCCAAGAGUUGAAGAAUAUAGCAUAUGGAGAAGGAGUGAGGAAGCAGACCCUUCCCAGAAAAGAUGGACGAUCUCAUCUGGAGGGGAGGCCCCGUCUCCGGAAGGAUAGGUAUGCAUACUAUAGACAAACAGGCCACUGGAAGAAAGAAUGCUCAAGAGACGUAAAAGGCAGAAUCAAAGGUGUUGGAGAUAAAAGAACUGCGUGACUGAGGGUGUUGGGGUUCACAUCCCUUCCAUGAGCCCUGGGAACCCUAAAGGCAGAGGGAAAGCCAAUAGAUUUCCUGGUAGAUACUGGGGCAUAACAUUCAAUCCUGAAACAAUCCCAUAAAAAAUCAUGGGUCCAAGGGGCUACUGGGACUGAUCAAUAUUCAUGGCCUACCCAAACAAAAGUAGAUCUAGGAACAGGAUGUGUAACUUGCUCUUUUAUGGUGACCCCAGGCUGCCCAUAUCUGCUCUUAGGCAGAGACCUCCUAAUCAAAGAGGGGCACAGAUCCAUUUCAGUCCUGAGAGAGUACAGGUACUAAACAAAAAUGGCCCCAUACAUGUACUGACUGUGACAUUAGAAGACUAUAAACUGUAUACGCACUUCACCUAGACAUUAAUACCUAGAGAGGUUAUGGGAAGUAAUCCCAGGGCUAUGGGCUGAGAAGAAUCCCUCAGGGCUGCCUAGACAUCUUGUCUUGGUGCACUAAAGGUCAAUGCCAACCCAGCCAGAGUCUGCCAAUAUUUCAUGCCUAGGGAGGCAAUAUUGGGAAUAGAGCCACACAUAAUUCGACUCUGGGAGCAGGGGAUACUGGUCCCUUGCCAGUUGGCCUGGAACACACCCCUCUGGCCAGUAAGAAAACCCCACUCCAAUGACUACCAGCCCAUAGGAGACUUAAGGGAAGUCAACAAAGGCAUAGAGGAUAUUCAUCCCACCAUCCCUGAUCCUUACACCCUACUGAGCAGUCUGCUUCCUAAACAAGAUGUCUGUACUGUAUUGGACCUUAAGAGUGCCUUCUUCAGUGUGCCACAGCCUCGGCUAGUCAGCCUUGUUCGGUUUUGAAUGGAGUGAUUCAACGGGCAUCUAAUGUGGACGGGGCUGCCACAAGGAUUCAAGGACUCCCCUACCAUCCUUGAUGAAGCAUUCCAUGAAGACCUGGAUACUUGGCAACUGAUGCCUUGCUCAGAGAGCUGGACCAGAUGGGAUAUUGAGUGUCUGCAAAGAAGGCUCUGCCCAAAGGAGACCUGGCAUCAAAUUCGUGAGUUCCUGGGUUCAGCAGGAUUCACAGAGAUUGCAAAGCCACUAGGGGGCAGGGCAGCACCUUAAAGUGGACUUCUGAGAUGAACAAAGCUUUUCAAAGGCUCAAGGAAGCACUGCUGGGCACUUGCCCUGCCAGACACCUAUACGCCGUAUGUAGAUGAGAGCAAAGGUGUAGUCAAAGGGGUACAGACUCAGACCCUGGGUCCUUGGAAGAGGCCAGUGGCCUAUCUGUCUAAGAAAUUGGACUCUGUUGCAUGAGGGUGGCCAGCUUGCCUAGUAUUGUGGCAGCUGCCGUGUUGCUGGCCAAGGAUGCAGAUAAGAUCACCAUGAGACAAGAACUGACUCUAACCACCUCUCAUGCCAUCCAGGGAGUAUUCAACGCCCGCCCUCCCGCCCCAGACCUCUGGAUAUCUAACGUCUGGCUGGUACAUUAUCAGUCCCUGCUCCUGAACCUGCCCUGCGUUAAGUACCACCUUGCCUCCACCUUAAUCCUGGCUACUCUGCUCCCGAUCCUGGACCUGGACGUUAUUCAUGGCUGCUCAACAGUGCUGAGCCACAUCCAGAACCCGAGACUAGACAGAGACAGACAGACAUCCCCAGGGUGUAUGCAGGAGUGAUCUUCAUCACGGAUGGGAGCAGCUUUCAUGCAAGGUGGAACCAGCAUAGCAGUGGCGGCUCCCAAUGCUAUAAUAUUCAGUCCUUCCACCCGGGACUUAAGUUCAAAAAGCUGAAUUAAUUGCCCUGACUCGGGCCCUAAAACUGACAAAGGGCAAAAUUGCUAACAUCUACACGGACAGGACAGCCAACAUGCCUUUGCUACAGCUCGUGUUUUCAGACUCAUAUAUAAGGAAAGAAGACUGCUCGCAGCAGAGGGAAAGACUACCAAAAGUAAAGACAAGAUUUUGUUUCUGUUAUAGGCACAAUGGCUGCCCCUCAAUGCAGCCAUCGUCCACUGCCCAGGACAUCAAAAGGGCAUGGAUGAGAGGAAAGAGGAAACAGACUGAUGCUGGCUGAUAAGACUGCAAAAGAGGCUGCGCUAGACUCCUCAGAGUUCGGGGCAAGUAGAAAGGAUGACCUUAACCAAAUUAACUUGUUGGAAGAGCCUACACACCGUGAUCCUGACAACACCCACUGACAUAAAAGUCGACAGGAUAAAGGCUUGGAUCCACCACUCCCACACCAAGCCUGCUGGACCAGAGACAACACAGCAGCUGAAACACCUCGGAGAAUGGCUUCCAGACAACUGCACACCGGGGCCAGCUCUGGACUGUGGAGAGCUGUCACCACCCCUGAGGUCUAUUCCAGCUAAGGGUCUGAAAGACUCUUGCCUCACACACAUCCAGUUGUGCCCUAGACGACGGCGGGCCUUCAUAGGUCUCCAAAGGGUUCCAUCUAUCUGCUCCUCAAACUUGGUUUGCUUAGAAGUCAGACUUCAGUGGACCCAAAUGCUCACCAAGCUGUCACCACCGCAUGGAUACUUCGAGGCCCUGAAAGAACCUCACGAGACUUAGAGGGAGAGAGGUACAACUUUGACAUUGACUGGUUCUGUGAGUACCACCUUUCCUGUUUUUUAUCUAGACCUUUGGGUCCUGAUCAGACAUAUAUGGAAAGAUCCAGGUUCGAGAGGUAAAACCUGUUCCUCAUAACAGGAACUGCAAAGUGCUAGGCCAACUUUUGGGAAGGACUACCAAGAACAGCAACUUGCAAGCAUUUAUAUGUGCCCAGAGACAAAUGACUAUGGGACUUGAGAACUUGGUUGGUAUUGAGAACUUCUUUUGCAAAAAAUGGGGCUGUGAGAUCAAUGUCCCAUGGGUGUGUAAUAAUUGGGAUCUUAGUGCUCCCUUCUCAUUACUUCUGACAGCACCACGGAAGCAGGUACUGGUCUUCAUGUUCUCACCUUGAGACACGAUCUUUGCUUUGGAGUCCUGGUGGGCCUUGAACUCGUGAUUGUUUUGCCUCAGCCUCUUCAGUGCCAGCGAAUGACACAUUACAGAUGUGCAUCUCCAUACACCAGGGUACAGUAAGUUGUUUUUGUUUUUUAUUGCUGUUGGGGUUUUUGGGGUUUUGUUUGUUGUCCGGAUUUUGAUAUGGGAUCUCAGAAAGUCCAGGUUGGUCUUGAACUCAGUACGUCAUCAAGGACGACUGGCGAGUUGAAUAAAAAUUGCCCUACAGCCUCAUAUUUUGAA